GACGAACGCUGGCGGCGUGCUUAACACAUGCAAGUCGAACGGAAAGGCCCUGCUUUUGUGGGGUGCUCGAGUGGCGAACGGGUGAGUAACACGUGAGUAACCUGCCCUUGACUUUGGGAUAACUUCAGGAAACUGGGGCUAAUACCGGAUAGGAGCUCCUGCUGCAUGGUGGGGGUUGGAAAGUUUCGGCGGUUGGGGAUGGACUCGCGGCUUAUCAGCUUGUUGGUGGGGUAGUGGCUUACCAAGGCUUUGACGGGUAGCCGGCCUGAGAGGGUGACCGGCCACAUUGGGACUGAGGUACGGACCAGACUCCUACGGGAGGCAGCAGGGGGGAGUAUUGCACAGUGGGCGGAAGCCUGAUGCAGCAACGCCGCGUGCGGGAUGACGGCCUGCGGGGUGUAAACCGCUUUCGCCUGUGACGAAGCGUGAGUGACGGUAAUGGGUAAAGAAGCACCGGCUAACUACGUG
rnacentral:rRNA from 1 species